AAAAAAAGGAGUAUUAAUGAGUUUACACAAUAUGAAUUCGAAUUACCCGAGCCCAAUGGGCCUAUAAUUGUCUAUGGGUCUGCAAAAAAAUUAUUCAAACCCACCCUCAUCAAAAAUCGAAAUAGAAUACAGUCCUCCAUUAAAACACAAGAAUUAGUGAAGCUCAAAGCUAAGUCCCUGUUUGGCUGUCACACCCAAAAAAAAUGGAAACAGACAUACUGAUUCAGCUAGUUAUCCUUCUUUUCACUCUCGGAAUUUUCUACACCAUUUAUAAUUUCCCCAAACAAGCCUUAACCCGACUCCGAUCAAAAACCCGAUCCACAAACCAAGCCAAUUCCCAUUUCAUCAAAGGCGCUCAAUUCCUCUCCCGUGCAAAAUCAAAUCGGAGCAAAAAAAGCAUCUCCUUCAACCUCGCUAAACUCGCCGCCGGCGAAGCUGAUAAAGCUUUAUCGAUCGAUCCUAAAGAUCCAGCAGCUCAU
rnacentral:misc_RNA from 1 species